UUGGGAUCAGAACCGUCAUACUGUUUCAACUCCUCUUCAGAAAUUUCACCAAGCUGAACUGGUGGGGGAAGAGACUCCAUCUGUUCCUCCAAAUUUCUAGACCUUUGGUGGUGAACAUGAUCAGGUUAGCUGAAAACCCCUGAGACGACAUAGUACAAAGCAAGACCCAAAGAAACAACUGUGAAAAAAGUUGUAGGGGAAAGACCUGUAUAGUCAAAGAUUGAAUCUUUCAAGUUUUCCCCUAGCUGCAGGGCCAUAGUUCUUUAUUGGGGCGAGAAAAGCAGAGAGGUUUUAAUUGGGGUUUGUGAGAUAGAGGGGAUAGGAGUGUAAGUGUGGACCAUUUGAGAUGUUCGGUUGUUUUUGGACUGUUUCACCAACUUUGUGAUUCCAUAAAUGAACUCAAAACAAUGGUUUUGUUAUAAAUAUAUUAUAUGUUUGGAAAAGCACCUAGAAAUUAGAUUUGGGCGUAAUUAAGUGUAAUUAACAAUUUGACAUGUUUGUUUGGCCAACUAAUUACUUUAUCAAUAUGGAAUUGGGUGUAAUUAGAGGGGUUUAAUUACACUAUCCAAUUCUCAAGAGGAUGUGAGAAUUGGUAGUAAUUUGUAAUUACAAGGUUAUAUUUUAUUUUCUUUCCUUUUUAUUUUUAUUUUAGUAUAUUUUCUUUAUAACUUUUUUUUCUAUUAUUUUAAUUUAAUAAAUUUUUGUGACGACCCGGCCGGUCGUCUUUGGAAUUUAUGCCCCGGUCCCCCGUUAAUUGUUUCCCUUAAGUUCAUUUCUGCUAUUUUGGUUUGCCGCGACAUUCAAUCUUAGAAUUCGGAGUGUUUUGGGACACUUAGUCCCUAAAUGAGAGCUUAAGCAUUGGAAAGUAGUUCAUAAUCGGAACAGUGUGAAUACACUGAUGAAAAGGGAUGUUGAAUUUAUGCCAAUACCAAUGAAAAGAGUUGAGAAAUAAAGGAGGCAAGCACAUUGACAUUCAUAGUUACAGUAUUGCGACGAGUGAAAUAUUUUUUAUGUUUGCAUCGCUAUCCAUCUACACUCACCUCAAAUGAAGCCAGAAGGUUAUGCUCUUGUCGUAAACGGUCUAUCUACCACAUGCUAUGAAGUGCUUUCAACAUACAGGUUUCGCGACAACUAGCUACGUUGAUAAAGAAUAUAGUAUUGCUACAUAUUUAAACACCUAUAGUGGACAGGUGCAGCCAGUGGUUGUUGAGCAUUAUCGGUUAGCUAUGUUGAUAAAGAAUAUAGUAUUGCUACAUAUUUAAACACCUAUAGUGGACAGGUGCAGCCAGUGGUUGUUGAGCAUUAUUGGGCGUCGGAAUCAUUUAAAAUGGUGUGUAACAAGGAGUAUUUGUGUCAACAACAAGUGUAAAAAAGAAUGUAUAUACGGAACAAAAUGGAUGUAAGUGAUACCGUUUAUGCGCGUAAAUGUGGUAUAUAAUCACAAACAUGACACGACCGUUGUAAAUGUCCUUCAGUUGGUUUAGGUAGCGGUAGUAAAAUCUUAAUAAUUAUAUGUAUAUUCAGAUUCAGAAGUCUUUAUCAUAAUAAAAUUAAAGAGAAUCUUACGGCCUUGGAUUAGACCUCAAUCCAUAUGAACCAAGACUAGCAAAUUGAACCACUUAAACAACCAAUCGAGGUAUCCUUGCAAAAUGAAAUAUUUAAACUAUACCUUUUUGCUCUACAGUGUAGGAUAGAGGAAGCAAGGGAAGAAGGAAAGCAUAUCGAGUGACCGACCUACACCACUAACUCCUAAUUACCCCCGUUAUUCAACAAAUUUCCAAUUCCACUUUGUGUAAUUAGCAGAUUAAAGUGUCUAAGGACUUCUGUAAAGUUCACACAAUGUUUUUAAUAAGAAAAAAUUAACACUUGUUUCCUCCAAAGGACAAGAAAAAGUAAUUCACAGUAACUUGAAAGAAACAACAAAAAGAUUGAUUCUACCCUUUAGUAUUAGGUUCUUCUGCAGAUACCUUUUUAUUCUCCAAUGUCAAAUAAAAGCCUCUCCAUCAUCACCAAGAAAUAUAAUCAUUUAAACAAUCAAGCACAACAACUUCCACAGGAAAAAAAAAGAAGCCAAAAAAUCCAAAAAAAUCAAAGACCCAUAUCAAAGUUUCUAAUAUUCAAGCAUAAAACACGAGAAUACAAAGGAGACAAACCUGCUCUGUGAAACACCAUAGAUCUGACCUUUGAUAGCCAUCAACAAAGGCUUCUUGGGAUCAGAACCGUCAUACUGUUUCAACUCCUCUUCAGAAAUUUCACCAAGCUGAACUGGUGGGGGAAGAGACUCCAUCUGUUCCUCCAAAUUUCUAGACCUUUGGUGGUGAACAUGAUCAGGUGAGCUGAAAACCCCUGAGACGACAUAGUACAAAGCAAGACCCAAAGCAACAACUGUGAAAAAAGUUUUAGGGGAAAGACCUGUACAGUCAAAGAUUGAAUCUUUCAAGUAUUCCCCUAGCUGCAGGGCCAUAGUUCUUUAUUGGGGCGAGAAAAGCAGAGAGGUUUUAAUUGGGGUUUGUGAGAUAGAGGAGAUAAGAGUGUAAGUGUGGACCAUUUGAGAUGUUCGGUUGUUUUUGGAUUGUUUCACCAACUUUGUGAUUCCAUAAAUGAACUCAAAACAAUGGUUUUGUUAUAAAUAUAUUAUAUGUUUGGAAAAUCACCAAAGAAUUAGAUUUGGGUGUAAUUAUACAAUUUGACAUGUUUGUUUUGCGAACUAAUUACUUGAACAAUGUGGGGAAUUAGAUUUGGGUGUAACUAAGUGUAAUUAUACAAUUUGACAUGUUUGUUUGGCCAACUAAUUACUUGAACAAUGUGGAACUGGGUGUUAUUAGAGGGGUUUAAUUACACUAUUCAAUUCUCAAGGGAGGUGAGAAUUGGUAGUAAUUUGUAAUUACAAGGUUAUUUUUUAUUUUCUUUCCUUUUUAUUUUUAUUUUAAUUUAUUUUCUUUAUAACUUUUUUCUAUUAUUUUAAUUUUUAAAAUUUUUGUGACGACCCCGCCGGUCGUCUUUGGAAUUUAUGCUCCGGUCCCCGUUAAUUGUUUCCCUUAAGUUCAUUUCUGCUAUUUUGGUUUGCCGAGACAUUCAAUCUUAGAAUUCGGAGUGAUUUGGGACACUUAGUCCCUAAAUGAGAGCAUAAGCAUUGGAAACUAGUUCAUAAUCGGAACAGUGUGAAUACAUUGAUGGAAAGGGGUGUUGAAUUUAUGCCAAUACCAAUGAAAAGAGUUGAGAAAUAAAGGAGGCAAGCACAUUGACAUUCAUAGUUACAGUAUUGCGACGAGUGAAAUAUUUUUUAUGUUUGCAUCGCUAUCCAUCUACACUCACCUCAAAUGAAGCCAGAAGGUUAUGCUCUCGAGUGAAAUAUUUUUGAUGUUUGCACCGCUAUCCAUCAAAAUCGGGGGCAUAAUACACUCACCUUAAAUGAAGCCAGAAGGUUAUGCUCUUGUCGUAAACGGUCUAUCUACCACAUGCUAUGAAGUGCUUUCAACAUACAGGUUUCGCGGCAAUCAGCUACGUUGAUAAAGAAUAUAGUAUUGCUACAUAUUUAAACACCUUUAGUAGACAGGUGCAGCCAGUGGUUGUUGAGCAUUAUUGGGCGUCGGAAUCAUUUAAAAUGGUGUGUAACAAGGAGUACUUGUGUCAACAACAAGUGCAAAAAAGAAUGUAUAUACGGAACAAAAUGGAUGUAAGUGAUACCGUUUAUGCGCGUAAAUACGGUAUAUAAUCACAAACAUGACACGACCAUUGUAAAUGUCCUUCAGCUGGUUUAGGUAGCGGUAGUAAAACCUUAAUAAUAAUAUGUAUAUUCAGAUUCAGAAGUCUGUAUCAUAAUAAAAUUAAAGAGAAUCUUACGGCCUUGGAUUAGACCUCAAUCCUUAUGGAUCCAGGCUAGAAAAUUGACCCACUUAAACAACCAAUCGAGGUAUCCUUGCAAAAGGAAAUCUUUAAACUAUAACUUUUUGCUCUACUGUGUUGGAUAGAGAAAGCAAGGAAGAAGGAAAGCAUAUCGAGUGACCGACCUACACCACUAACUCCUAAUUACCUCCUUUAUUCAACAAAUUUCCAAUUCCACUUUGUGUAAUCAGCAGAUUAAAGUGUCUAAGGACUUCAGUAAAGUUCACACAAUAUUUUUAUUAAGAAAAAAUUCACACUUGUUUCCUCCAAAGGACAAGAAAAAGUAAUUCACAGUAACUUGAAAGAAACAACAAAAGAGAUUGAUUCUACCCUUUAGUAUUAGGUUCUUCUGCAGAUACCUUUUUAUUCUCCAAAGUCAAAUAAAAGCCUCUCCAUCAUCACCAAGAAAUAUAAUCAUUUAAACAAUCAAGCACAACAACUUCCACAGGAAAAAAAAAGAAGCCAAAAAAUCCAAAAAAAUCAAAGACCCAUAUCAAAGUUUCUAAUAUUCAAGCAUAAAACACGAGAAUACAAAGGAGACAAACCUGCUCUGUGAAACACCAUAGAUCUGACCUUUGAUAGCCAUCAACAAAGGCUUCUUGGGAUCAGAACCGUCAUACUGUUUCAACUCCUCUUCAGAAAUUUCACCAAGCUGAACUGGUGGGGGAAGAGACUCCAUCUGUUCCUCCAAAUUUCUAGACCUUUGGUGGUGAACAUGAUCAGGUGAGCUGAAAACCCCUGAGUUGUUUCAACUCCUUUUCAGAAACUUCACCAAGCUGAACUGGUGGGGAAAGAGACUCCAUCUUUUCCUCCAAAUUUCUAGACCUUUGGGGGUGAACAUGAUCAGGUGAGCUGAAAACCCCUGAGACGACAUAGUACAAAGCAAGACCCAAAGAAUUAACUGUGAAAAAAGUUGUAGGGGAAAGACCCGUAUAGUCAAAGAUUGAAUCUUUCAAGUUUUCCCCUAGCUGCAGGGCCACAGUUCUUUAUUGGGGCGAGAAAAGCAGAGAGGUUUUAAUUGGGGUUUGUGAGAUAGAGGGGAUAGGAGUGUAAGUGUGGACCAUUUGAGAUGUUCGGUUGUUUUUGGACUGUUUCACCAACUUUGUGAUUCCAUAAAUGAACUCAAAACAAUGGUUUUGUUAUAAAUAUAUUAUAUGUUUGGAAAAGCACCUAGGAAUUAGAUUUGGGCGUAAUUAAGUGUAAUUAUACAAUUUGACAUGUUUGUUUGGCCAACUAAUUACUUUAUCAAUAUGGAAUCGGGUGUAAUUAGAGGGGUUUAAUUACACUAUCCAAUUCUCAAGGGGAUGUGAGAAUUGGUAGUAAUUUGCAAUUACAAGGUUAUUUUUUAUUUUCUUUCCUUUUUAUUUUUAUUUUAAUAUAUUUUCUUUACAACUUUUUUUUCUAUUAUUUUAAUUUAUUAAAUUUUUCUGACGACCCGGCCGGUCGUCUUUGGAAUUUAUGCCCCGGUCCCCCGUUAAUUGUUUCGCUUAAGUUCAUUUCUGCUAUUUUGGUUUGCCGCGACAUUCAAUUUUAGAAUUCGGAGUGUUUUGGGACACUUAGUCCCUAAAUGAGAGCUUAAGCAUUGGAAAGUAGUUCAUAAUCGGAACAGUGUGAAUACAUUGAUGAAAAGGGAUGUUGAAUUUAUGCCAAUACCAAUGAAAAGAGUUGAGAAAUAAAGGAGGCAAGCACAUUGACAUUCAUAGUUACAGUAUUGCGACGAGUGAAAUAUUUUUUAUGUUUGCAUCGCUAUCCAUCUACACUCACCUCAAAUGAAGCCAGAAGGUUAUGCUCUUGUCGUAAACGGUCUAUCUACCACAUGCUAUGAAGUGCUUUCAACAUACAGGUUUCGCGACAACUAGCUACGUUGAUAAAGAAUAUAGUAUUGCUACAUAUUUAAACACCUAUAGUGGACAGGUGCAGCCAGUGGUUGUUGAGCAUUAUCGGGCGUCGGAAUCAUUUAAAAUGGUGUGUAACAAGGAGUAUUUGUGUCAACAACAAGUGUAAAAAAGAAUGUAUAUAUGGAACAAAAUGGAUGUAAGUGAUACCGUCUAUGCGCGUAAAUGUGGUAUAUAAUCACAAACAUGACACGACCGUUGUAAAUGUCCUUCAGCUGGCUUAGGUAGCGGUAGCAAAAUCUUAAUAAUUAUAUGUAUAUUCAGAUUCAGAAGUCUUUAUCACAAUAAAAUUAAAGAGAAUCUUACGGCCUUGGAUUAGACCUCAAUCCAUAUGGACCAAGACAAGCAAAUUGACCCACUUAAACAACCAAUUGAGGUAUCCUUGCAAAAUGAAAUAUUUAAACUAUACCUUUUUGCUCUACAGUGUUGGAUAGAGAAAGCAAGGGAAGAAGGAAAGCAUAUCGAGUGACCGACCCACACCACUAACUCUUAAUUACCUCCGUUAUUCAACAAAUUUCCAAUUCCACUUUGUGUAAUCAGCAGAUUAAAGUGCCUAAGGACUUCAGCAAAGUUCACACAAUUUUUUUAAUAAGAAAAAAUUCACACUUGUUUCCUCCAAAGGACAAGAAAAAGUAAUUCACAGUAACUUGAAAGAAACAACAAAAGAGAUUGAUUCUACCCUUUAGUAUUAGGUUCUUCUGCAGAUACCUUUUUAUUCUCCAAAGUCAAAUAAAAGCCUCUCCAUCAUCACCAAGAAAUAUAAUCAUUUAAACAAUCAAGCACAACAACUUCCACAGGAAAAAAAAAGAAGCCAAAAAAUCCAAAAAAAUCAAAGACCCAUAUCAAAGUUUCUAAUAUUCAAGCAUAAAACACGAGAAUACAAAGGAGACAAACCUGCUCUGUGAAACACCAUAGAUCUGACCUUUGAUAGCCAUCAACAAAGGCUUCUUGGGAUCAGAACCGUCAUACUGUUUCAACUCCUCUUCAGAAAUUUCACCAAGCUGAACUGGUGGGGGAAGAGACUCCAUCUGUUCCUCCAAAUUUCUAGACCUUUGGUGGUGAACAUGAUCAGGUGAGCUGAAAACCCCUGAGACGACAUAGUACAAAGCAAGACCCAAAGAAACAACUGUGAAAAAAGUUGUAGGGGAAAGACCUGUAUAGUCAAAGAUUGAAUCUUUCAAGUUUUCCCCUAGCUGCAGGGCCAUAGUUCUUUAUUGGGGCGAGAAAAGCAGAGAGGUUUUAAUUGGGGUUUGUGAGAUAGAGGGGAUAGGAGUGUAAGUGUGGACCAUUUGAGAUGUUCGGUUGUUUUUGGACUGUUUCACCAACUUUGUGAUUCCAUAAAUGAACUCAAAACAAUGGUUUUGUUAUAAAUAUAUUAUAUGUUUGGAAAAGCACCUAGAAAUAGAAUUAGAUUUGGGUGUAAUUAUACAAUUUGACAUGUUUGUUUUGCGAACUAAUUACUUGAACAAUGUGGAAUUGGGUGUUAUUAGAGGGGUUUAAUUACACUAUCCAAUUCUCAAGGGAGGUGAGAAUUGGUAGUAAUUUGUAAUUACAAGGUUAUUUUUUAUUUUCUUUCCUUUUUAUUUUUAUUUUAAUUUAUUUUCUUUAUAACUUUUUUCUAUUAUUUUAAUUUUUAAAAUUUUUGUGACGACC
rnacentral:lncRNA from 1 species